CAGUCGGUAAGAAUUUAAGGAUAAGAGUGUGCGAUCGAGAGGUCCGGGGUUCGAAUCCCAUUUCUAACUUUUCCUCUUUUAUUUUUAUAAAUGUUUGUUUCUAACCUCCUUUUAAUUAUUUAUUUAUUUAUUUAUUCAUAAAAAAAAUCACAAAAAUAUAGUUCUUUAUAUUUUCAUUUUUUUUAAUUUAUUAGUUUUAGUUUAUAGUUUUAUUUAUUUGUAGAGUUAUUAUUAUUAUUUUUUUUAAUGUGCUAGAAUUUGGGCUUUUUUCUUCUUAUAGGUUUUAACCUAAUUCUUCAUUAUAAAUAUAGAUUUUUCUAACAAUUAGGGGAGGCGAACUUCCAUUCACCAUACGGUACAUACACACCAACAGGCCAAUUCCACCUGGUCUAUUCACGUGCACGGUGCACCUACUUUUCUAACAGUAGAAAAAUCUAUUUUCUUCCCCGCUCAGUUGCACACCGAUAACCAUCGAUUCAGUCACCGUUACCUACGAUUCCAACUACCGCCGUAAACUCAAGUUCAUUACGCGUCACUGCCGCAUGCGCUCCGUCAACCCCCCUGAAGCCGAAACCACCGAUCAAUUUUCCGCUCAAGUCACGCACGGAUCCAUGACACUCCAUUUUGUUCAGAUUUUUCUAACAAUUAGGGGAGGCGAACUUCCAUUCACCAUACGGUACAUACACACCAACAGGCCAAUUCCACCUGGUCUAUUCACGUGCACGGUGCACCUACUUUUCUAACAGUAGAAAAAUCUAUUUUCUUCCCCGCUCAGUUGCACACCGAUAACCAUCGAUUCAGUCACCGUUACCUACGAUUCCAACUACCGCCGUAAACUCAAGUUCAUUACGCGUCACUGCCGCAUGCGCUCCGUCAACCCCCCUGAAGCCGAAACCACCGAUCAAUUUUCCGCUCAAGUCACGCACGGAUCCAUGACACUCCAUUUUGUUCAGAUUGAAGUAGUGGCUUAAGCGAUCGGUGAGGAUGACUCGUAGAGUUUAUCCGGUUAUGUUGGGUCGUGUCGGUCAUGAUCUGAUCUUGUAACACUGGGGAUAGUCUUAGAGUUACUUGUGAUACACUUUUUUGCCAUUAUUGGAUUAUGUACCGUUAAUGUUAUUGGAGAUGUUUUAUAACACUGUUGAAUGAGUUCCGCUGUGACAUAUGUUUGAUAUAUUUGGGAUUAUUCCUAAUAAAGCAUGACAAACGACUUAAAGUUUUCUUUAUUUUAUUAGUUGUAACAUCCUUGUUGUAUGAUUACUCUGAUUAUUACCGUAUUUUCCGCGGGGGUUUUAGAAGGGUGUUACAUAAGGGGUGAUUGGAUUAAAACUGUGGCCGAAUAAUGAAUUUGCUCAAUUUGGAUUUUAUGCACUGACUCAAAAUUUCCCAAUUUUUACCAGCCAUAAUUUUCUCAAUUUUCAUUAUUUGAGAAUAAUUUUGAAUUUGUUGGGAAGCUUGGGAUGUCCUCUUCAAGUGCAAAUCCAUAUGGAAUUUCUUCAGAUAUAGUCUAGCGUACGACUCAUUCUGAUCUCUAUCUUAUCUCCAAAAUAUAGAUGGCAUAUACAAGCCCAUCUCCUACAAACACUUAUCAAUACUUCAAGCUCGGAUAUAGUCUAACGCACAACUCAUUCUGACUUUCAUAUUAUCGAAAAUCAGAUGGCAUCUUUAAGCCCAUCUCCAACAAUACUCUGUCAACACUUGGAUGACAUCUUUAAGCCCAUCUCAGACAAUUUCCAACAUUUGGACGACAUCUUUAAGCCCGUGUCUGACAGUACUUCACAAACACCUGGAUGGCAUCUUUAAGCCCAUCCCCGACAAAGGUCCCUACCUCGGCAAGGGCAAAUUUCUGGGUAUUCUAGUGUUCAAUCCUCUUCUACCUUGAGAUUCCGACAGGCACACACGCCAAUCUACAUCCUCAGGUUUAAAAAGAUUGAACCGGGGCAGCUGUCAUACCCCAAAUUUUUCCCAUCUUAUUUUGACUCACAUGACCUUCAACUGCUCAAGACUAUGCAAGAUUUGGGCACAAUUACCUGUCUCCUAAACAACAAGCCUCCAAUUAGGGUUUCGUCUCUCUCCAAAAAAAUCAGGUUCUGAUACCUCAAGUGGACUUCAUGGACUCUCAUAUGCUUCAAAUAAUCCUCACACCAAGUUUCAAGCUCAAAUUCACAAGAUUGUUCAGUCAACUGCUCAAAUGAUCAAUAGUCGACUAGUUUGACCUAAAAGUCAACUAUGGUCAAAUCAGACUCAAAACUCCUGAUUUUUUCUCAACCAAAAACAUAUAAAACACUUAACAAUAUAAAACACUUAACAAUGGUUCAAAUUCAAAACAAAGUAGAGAAAGUGGUGAGUGGCCCGGUAUUGGGAACUGUUCAUCACUUAUCUACCCUAAAAGACACAAACCAAUCUCUCUUUCUUCUUUCUAAGGGCAAUGUUAUUUUCGCUCGAACGCAUCGUAGGCGAUCCCUUAUGCAAGAGCGCGAACGUUAACUCCGCCCAACUAAAAAACACAAAAACAAACAGAAAAUCUUGAGCCGGGCUACGGUAACUCUGAUUGCUGAAAAGGAUACGUAGGCAGCGGAGUAGGGCCCGUGCGAGUACAUUUCCUUCUUUUCCCUACAUUUUGCAUUCAUUCGCAUAUAGACAUAGACAUAGAUAUACACCCUUUAGAUAGAAACAAACAUAGGUGGAUGCCAUCGAGUACGAUGGGCGUGAGGUGUAACGCCCGGAAAAUAAGUAUAUACUUGAUUUGGACGUUUGUGACGUUUAUUGGAAUUGUACCAUUUUUGGAGUUGUUUCAGUCGGUAUUAGUUCGGGAUGGCGGACUAAUAUUUAAUUGAAGGUUUUCAUAUUUUUGGUACCGGAAAUAUUAUUAAGGUAAUAUUCCGCGUUUUGGGGCGUUUGAACGAUAUUUGAGCGUAAGGGCAUUUUGGUCAUUUCCGUGGGAUAAAUAUUUUCUUUAUAAGAAAGAGAUAUUUGUGAAAAAGGAAAGAAAGAAGAGAAAGAAAGAGAAGAGAGAAAGAAGAAGAGGAAAAGAAGGAAAAAGUGUAGAUUGGUGGAUUCUCGACCGAUUCGAGUUCCGAUCGUUGCUAUAGCAAGGUAAGGGGGUGAAUCUAAUUUAUCUUGGAUGUAUGAUUCUUAUAGUCUUGCUCUUGUUCUUGUCCUUGUUCUUUUCUAUGUUUGGACAAAAAUGGUGGAUUGUGAGUUUUGUGAGUUUAGAAGUUAUAAACAUGAUUUUGUGGUGUGUAUGUGUAGUGUGAUGAUAGAUACCUUCAUUGAUCAUGUUUGUUUUCCAUUACCAUGGCUUGUUUGAGUUUGGAGAUAAAGUUAGGUUUUGAGUUAGAGUGAUGAAUUAACCAUGAAAAGUGUGAUAAUAGGUUGUUUCUAUGGUUUGUAUGUGUUGUAUUGGUGUU